rnacentral:rRNA from 1 species
GUAGGUGGCAAGCGUUGUCCGGAAUUAUUGGGCGUAAAGCGCGCGCAGGUGGGUUCUUUAAGUCUGAUGUGAAAGCCCCCGGGCUCAACCGGGGAGGGUCAUUGGAAACUGGGGAACUUGAGUGCAGGAGAGGAAAGUGGAAUUCCACGUGUAGCGGUGAAAUGCGUAGAUAUGUGGAGGAACACCAGUGGCGAAGGCGACUUUCUGGCCUGUAACUGACACUGAGGCGCGAAAGCGUGGGGAGCAAACAGGAUUAGACACCCUGGUAGUCCACGCCGUAAACGAUGAGUGCUAAGUGUUGGGGGGUUUCCGCCCCUCAGUGCUGCAGCUAACGCAUUAAGCACUCCGCCUGGGGAGUACGGUCGCAAGACUG